GUAGGGUGCAAGCGUUAAUCGGAAUUACUGGGCGUAAAGCGUGCGCAGGCGGUUUUGUAAGUCUGUCGUGAAAGCCCCGGGCUCAACCUGGGAAUUGCGAUGGAGACUGCAAGGCUUGAAUCUGGCAGAGGGGGGUAGAAUUCCACGUGUAGCAGUGAAAUGCGUAGAGAUGUGGAGGAACACCGAUGGCGAAGGCAGCCCCCUGGGUCAAGAUUGACGCUCAUGCACGAAAGCGUGGGGGGAGCAAACAGGAUUAGAUACCCUGGUAGUCCACGCCCUAAACGAUGUCUACUAGUUGUCGGGUUUUAAUUAACCUUGGUAACGCAGCUAACGCGUGAAGUAGACCGCCUGGGGAGUACGGUCGCAAGAUUA
rnacentral:rRNA from 1 species